UUAUCCUCUCAGUCGUUGGAUAUGCUAUUGGAUUAGGAAACAUAUGGAGAUUCCCAUAUCUUGCUUAUACAAAUGGCGGAGGAGCAUUUUUGAUACCUUAUUUGUUAUUCCUAGUUCUCACUGGAAUCCCCAUGUUUUAUCUAGAAUUUUGCAUUGGACAGUUUAGUUCUUGUAGACCAAUUAAUGCAUUUUCUAUGGUACCAAUUUUCAAAGGAAUUGGAAUCUCAAUGGCAGUUAUAUCUGGAUUAGUUACCAUGUAUUAUAAUAUUAUUGUUUCUUACGCACUUAUAUACUUUGUUAAAUCGUUUGCAAGUCAGCUUCCGUGGGAAACGUGCAACAAUUCUUGGAACUCUAUACAUUGUACAGACAGAACACAAAAUAUCACAGUUAAUAUUUCUUUUUUAAAAAUCCCUCAAUUAGGUUAUCAUUGUAUAAAUUAUAUUUUCAGACAAAAUUAAUCAAAAUUUUUUAUGCUUAAAUGAGACAAUUGCAGAUUUCUUAAAACAAAAGAAUAUACAUUCGGAUGCUCUGGUUAAUAAAUUUUGGACUUAUUUCAAUUGCUCAACUUAUAAAAGUAUUUCACCUUCUGAAGAAUUUUGGAAAAAUUACAUCUUACAGCAAUCUAGCAGUAUUUCAGAAACCGGAAAAUUUGUUCCGACUCUUGUCGGAGCUCUUGCUAUAUCGUGGAUUUUACUUUUUCUGUGUCUAUCAAAAGGAAUUCAAUCGAGUGGAAA